GCCUGGGUGGCUCAGUCGGUUGAGCAUCCGACUUCAGCUCAGGUCACGAUCUCGCAGUCUGUGAGUUCGAGCCCCGCGUCAGGCU
rnacentral:tRNA from 1 species